rnacentral:tRNA from 1 species
GAGGAUAUAGUUCAGUGGUCAAGUGUGUGCUUAGCAUGCACGAGGUCCUGGGUUCAAUCCCCAGUACCCCG